rnacentral:rRNA from 1 species
CAAUAGCGUAUAUUAAAGUUGUUGCGGUUAAAAAGCUCGUAGUUGGAGUUCUGCCAGGUGACACUCGUCCGCCCAAGUGGUGUGUACAGGGUGUGCAUCUGGCCCUUUCAAGGGGAACGUGUCUGCACUUCAUUGUGUGGUGCGAGAUCCUUGACUUUUACUUUGAGGAAAUAAGAGUGUUCCAAGCAGGCUCUCGUCGUGCAUAGCUCAGCAUGGAAUAAUAGCAUUGGACUUCGUUUCUACGCUGUUGGUUGCAAGAAGCGAGGUAAUGAUGAAGAGGGAUAGUUGGGGGCAUUCGUAUUUAACUGUCAGAGGUGAAAUUCUUGGAUUUGUUAUAGACGGACUACUGCGAAAGCAUCUGCCAUGGAUGUUUUCAUUGA